rnacentral:rRNA from 1 species
UGGGGAAUUUUGGACAAUGGGCGAAAGCCUGAUCCAGCAAUGCCGCGUGUGUGAAGAAGGCCUUCGGGUUGUAAGCACUUUUGUCCGGAAAGAAAUCCUUGGCUCUAAUACAGUCGGGGGAUGACGGUACCGGAAGAAUAAGCACCGGCUAACUACGUGCCAGCAGCCGCGGUAAUACGUAGGGUGCAAGCGUUAAUCGGAAUUACUGGGCGUAAAGCGUGCGCAGGCGGUUUGCUAAGACCGAUGUGAAAUCCCCGGGCUCAACCUGGGAACUGCAUUGGUGACUGGCAGGCUAGAGUAUGGCAGAGGGGGGUAGAAUUCCACGUGUAGCAGUGAAAUGCGUAGAGAUGUGGAGGAAUACCGAUGGCGAAGGCAGCCCCCUGGGCCAAUACUGACGCUCAUGCACGAAAGCGUGGGGAGCAAACAGGAUUAGAUACCCUGGUAGUCCACGCCCUAAACGAUGUCAACUAGUUGUUGGGGAUUCAUUUCCUUAGUAACGUAGCUAACGCGUGAAGUUGACCGCCUGGGGAGUACGGUCGCAAGAUUAAAACUCAAAUGAAUUGACGGGGUCAUAGCUGUUUCCU